CAGCAGCCGGCGGUAAUACAGAGGGUGCAAGCGUUAAUCGGAAUUACUGGGCGUAAAGCGCGCGUAGGUGGUUUGUUAAGUUGGAUGUGAAAUCCCCGGGCUCAACCUGGGAACUGCAUCCAAAACUGGCAAGCUAGAGUAUGGUAGAGGGUGGUGGAAUUUCCUGUGUAGCGGUGAAAUGCGUAGAUAUAGGAAGGAACACCAGUGGCGAAGGCGACCACCUGGACUGAUACUGACACUGAGGUGCGAAAGCGUGGGGAGCAAACAGGAUUAGAUACCCCCGUAGUCCCUGUCUCUUAUA
rnacentral:rRNA from 1 species